GAAGACACAUGCGUGCAUAUAGAAGAGAAAGCCGGGACGGGGGGAUCCCAAGGCCCAUUCUUACGGAAGGGCUUUUCAUUAGGGAAAGAGCUUUUGGAAUAAGAGCGGGGCAAGACCGGGGCCAGCGCCGCGAAACACCGGCAGCUCUGGUGGUAGCAGUUUUUAUUGGGCCUAAAGCGUCCGUAGCCGGUUUAAUAAGUCUCUGGGGAAACCCUGCGGCUUAACUGUGGGAAUUGCUGGGGAUACUAUUAGACUUGAGAUCGGGAGAGGUUAGAGGUACUCCCAGGGAAGAGGGGAAAUUCUGUAAUCCUGGGAGGACCGCCUGUUGCGAAGACGUCUGACUGGAACGAUUCUGAGGGUGAGGGAGAAAAGCUAGGGGCGCGAACCGAAUUAGAUACCCGGGUAGCCCUAGCUGUAAACGAUGCGGACUUGGGGUUGGGGUGGCUUUGAGCUGUCCCAGGGCCGAGGGAAGGCUGUAAAGUCCCCCGCCUGGGAAGA
rnacentral:rRNA from 1 species